GGAGAGAUGGCUCAAUGGUUAAGAGCACUGACUGUUCUUCCAGAGGACCUGGGUUCGUUUCCCAGGUCCUACA
rnacentral:tRNA from 1 species